rnacentral:tRNA from 1 species
AUGGCUCAGUGGUAGAGCACUUGCCUAACAUGCAGAAGGCUCUGGGUUCAAUCUCCAGU